GACGAACGCUGGCGGCGUGCUUAACACAUGCAAGUCGAACGGAAAGGCCCUGCUUUUGUGGGGUGCUCGAGUGGCGAACGGGUGAGUAACACGUGAGUAACCUGCCCUUGACUUUGGGGUAACUUCAGGAAACUGGGGCUAAUACCGGAUAGGAGCUCCUGCUGCAUGGUGGGGGUUGGAAAGUUUCGGCGGUUGGGGAUGGACUCGCGGCUUAUCAGCUUGUUGGUGGGGUAGUGGCUUACCAAGGCUUUGACGGGUAGCCGGCCUGAGAGGGUGACCGGCCACGUUGGGACUGAGAUACGGCCCAGACUCCUACGGGAGGCAGCAGUGGGGAAUAUUGCACAAUGGGCGGAAGCCUGAUGCAGCAACGCCGCGUGCGGGAUGACGGCCUUCGGGUUGUAGACCGCUUUCGCCUGUGACGAAGCGUGAGUGACGGUAAUGGGUAAAGAAGCACCGGCUAACUACGUG
rnacentral:rRNA from 1 species